rnacentral:rRNA from 1 species
AUGUAUCCACACAGCCCUACCGGCGAGUACCGGCUAUUGCUCUUCCAGUCGAUGUACAGUGCACUGCCUGGCGCUCAAGAGGGCUCCUACGUCUUCACGAUAGGCUCCGGCCAGCCGCCCAGGCACAUAGGAUGCCCCGAUGCGGAGGAACUGAUAUGCAUCCCCGGAUCUGUUCUGUUCUGUGGUAGCCUGCAUUGGUAUACGGACCACGUGAUAAAGAUAUUUGACACCAUCACCGAGUCGUUCCGGCAGAUGCGCUCUCCGUUUGUUCCUGGCCAUGCUCGCCUGUUUGAGAUGGAUGGCAACAUGCUUGGCAUGUCCACUUUUAAUGGUGAAGGGACACCUGUUGAUAUCUGGGUGGUGCAAGACUACAAAGACGAGGUCUGGGCAUUGAAAUAUCGGGUUGAAUUGCCGGUUUCAGAGAUCAGAGUGCAAUUUGGAAUGUUUGAAAUUAAAUAUUGUCAUGUGAGAGCCGCGUCUUGUAAGGGUGAUGUGCUUGUGCUGGUCGAAUUUGAUGAUUGGCUACUUCAAAUUGAUAUCAAUGGCAGGUUGUUUGCUGGAUUCCAUCGCAGGGGCCUCAUUCGUACACAAGUCCAGCUCAAACAAACUCUAGUUUUGCACACUUUUUUUCCGGCACUAGAAGAUUAUGUUGUGAACGCUUUGCCUUCCGUUUGA